rnacentral:rRNA from 1 species
UUAUGGCUCAGGAUGAACGCUGGCGGCGUGCCUAACACAUGCAAGUCGAACGGAAUUACAGAAGAAAGUUUCGGAUGGAAUUUGUAAUUUAGUGGCGGACGGGUGAGUAACACGUGGGUAACCUGCCCUGUACCGGGGGAUAACAGUUGGAAACGGCUGUUAAUACCGCAUAAGCGCACAGCUUCGCAUGAAGCAGUGUGAAAAACUCCGGUGGUACAGGAUGGACCCCGCGUCUGAUUAGCUAGUUGGCGGGGUAACGGCCCACCAAGGCGACGAUCAGUAGCCGGCCUGAGAGGGUGAACGGCCACAUUGGGACUGAGACACGGCCCAGACUCCUACGGGAGGCAGCAGUGGGGGAAUAUUGCACAAUGGAGGAAACUCUGAUGCAGCCGACGCCGCGUGAGCGAUGAAGUAUUUCGGUAUGUAAAGCUCUAUCAGCAGGGAAGAUAAUGACGGUACCUGACUAAGAAGCCCCGGCUAACUACGUGCCAGCCGCAGC